UUCAGGCAAGACGCGGGCGUCUAAGGUCGAUCAGCUGUACGGUUUACGAUAUUCAAUCAGUAGAAAACAGCUUGGAAACGUUAAAAAUUGUUUUGAAAAAGAAGAGUUGUGGGGUGCAAAAUUCCCAAAAUUCGGUUACCGAGUCGGAAUUGGGAAACUAAAUAAGAAAUACGUGGAUAAAAGCUGUCAGAAUAAUAACAUUAUACAUACUCGAAUAUGCAGUGCCCAUUUUGUUGGAGGCAAGCAAUCUAACGUGGAAAACAGCCCAGCGUAUGUCCCAAGAAUUUUUCCCCUUUGUACAAAAAAACGAAAUAUCGCAAUUGGCCUUAACGAGACACGAGCGACUUCUGAAAAGAAAACUGAAUAUUAACACGUUGCAACUGCAAAACCAGAAGAACAGGAAAAUAACUCGAGUGACAUCGAAACGGGAUUCAAUGAAACUCCCAAGGAAGCUAGCAGUACAGGCAUUGCUUGUCAAACUGAUGCGUGUGACUACGAAGAAUAGAGUGCAGAAGGAAAUACUUUCUGGAGUUGGAAUAACGAGAGGAAUGAAGCUUCGACGCAGAGAAACAUUCACAUUGGGAAGCCUCAGUCAUGUGGACGAUAUUGUACAUUACGGAUUCUGAGGAUUCUCUGAUAUUGAAUCUGACAAAACCAUGUUGCAGUUUGACGGAGUUUUUUAAUAUUUUGAUAGACCUCAUUAGCGCCAAAACAAACGGUCAACCAGUUAAUGAAAAUGAGUUUUUAAUGAAAAUGACAUUGGGUAUUUCUUUUUCUGCUCUAGGUUUCUUUGAAAUCUUGACAACGUUGGCUCAGAAGACAAAAACUCGGUUGAUUUCCAUGAUCGUUCUUCAUCAUCAUGGAUUUCGAAGACUUCCUGAACAUUGGCAUUUCUGAUGGCCUUGGAAUAGUUUGUGCUCUAUAAUUCUUAAUUAAGUGAACAUCGUGUUAUUAGGAAUACGAUGAUCUUAAAAAUAAAUACACAUUAAAAAUUAUAUUCAAAGAAUUUACAUAUUA